GCCUACCGUGGCUAUGACGGGUAACGGGGAAUUAGGGUUCGAUUCCGGAGAGGGAGCCUGAGAAACGGCUACCACAUCUAAGGAAGGCAGCAGGCGCGCAAAUUACCCAAUCCUAAUACAGGGAGGUAGUGACAAGAAAUAACAAUACAGAACCUCACGGUUUUGUAAUUGGAAUGAGUUAAGUAUAAACCCCUUAACGAGUAUCAAUUGGAGGGCAAGUCUGGUGCCAGCAGCCGCGGUAAUUCCAGCUCCAAUAGCGUAUAUUAAAGUUGUUGCAGUUAAAAAGCUCGUAGUUGAUUUUCUGUUAAUUUUUAUGUAUAAUAUUGCGAUAUUUACAUAAUAUUAACAUAAUUCACAUUACUUUACAGUAUGUGGAAUUUUACUUUGAGAAAAUUAGAGUGCUUAAAGCAGGCUAUUGCCUUGAAUACUCCAGCAUGGAAUAAUAUUAAGGAUUUUUAUUCUUCUUAUUGGUUCUAGAAUAAAAAUAAUGAUUAAUAGGAACAGUUGGGGGCAUUUGUAUUUAACAGUUAGAGGUGAAAUUCUUAGAUUUGUUAAAGACAAACUACUGCGAAAGCAUUUGCCAAGGAUGUUUUCAUUAAUCAAGAACGAAAGUUAGGGGAUCGAAGACGAUCAGAUACCGUCGUAGUCUUAACCAUAAACUAUGCCAACUAGAGAU
rnacentral:rRNA from 1 species